UACAGAGGGGGCAAGCGUUGUUCGGAAUUACUGGGCGUAAAGCGCACGUAGGCGGCUUUGCAAGUCGGGUGUGAAAUCCCCGGGCUCAACCUGGGAACUGCAUUCGAGACUGCUUUGCUCGAGUAUGGGAGAGGGAAGUGGAAUUUCCGGUGUAGCGGUGAAAUGCGUAGAUAUCGGAAGGAACACCGAUGGCGAAGGCAGGUCUCUGGGCCACUACUGACGCUGAGAAGCGAAAGCAUGGGGAGCGAACAGG
rnacentral:rRNA from 1 species